UUCUGGAGACUGCGGGCUCCGCCUUAUUGCUUCGCUCCUGUCUCUUUCCCAGAGCGCUAAAUUCAAUCGCAGAUCCGCUGCGGCUUUCCCCUUCACUAGCUUUCCAAGAAUAAAAGGUUGUACUCAAACUGUGCUUUUUAAUUUUUUCGAAGAUUUAUUUAUUUUUAUUUUAUCCUUAGAAGUGUUUUGCCCGCAAGGAUGUCUGUGCACCACGGUCAUGCAGUGCCCGCAGAGGUCAGAAGAGGGCGUCGGAUCCUCUGGAACUGGAGUUACAGUUUGAACACAGAAUCCUGAAAAUUUCAGAUCUAAGAUCCACAAAUGAGAGAGUGCAUGUGGCAUCUGACUUUCUGUGUCCAGGUUGCCUCACCCCGUAGGAUAUUUUCCAGUUCUAUCAAUUUGGCAUCACUGUAGCCCUCAAUGGUCUGGAACUCACUGUAUUCCACAGCUCUUCCCCCGCCCCCCCUUGCUCUUUUGUUCUUUUUGCCUCCUCUUCUCAGUUACACCCUGAGCCUUGGUGGUGGGGUGUGGAUAUAGGUCUGAGCACCGCAUUAAAACUUGGAAGUCUUAAAGAGACCUUGGACUUUUAGAAUGCUGAAAUUUAUAAAGACUUAAGUGUUUGAUGGUUGAAUCCUGAUAUUACCCAAGAAUCUGGGGGACAAGAAUUGGACGAUUAAGCUAAAGUGCUCUGUUUGUGUGGCAGGUUGAUGAGGGAUAGUGGGUUCUGGAAGAGCCCACUGUGGGUGGUACGAUUCCUAGGCUAGUGGCCCUGGACUGUAGAAGAAAGCUAGCUAAGCAUGGGCCUGAAAAGGAGCCAGCAGGCGGUGUCUCUCCGAUAGUUCUACUUCAGUCCUUACUUGAGUUCCCGGCUCCCCUCAGUGAUCGGUGGCAUCCUGUGAAAUGAAGUCAGUCCUCCCGCAUCCUUAGUUGCUUUUGGCUGUGGUGUCUGACAGGCAGAAUGAAACUGGAAUCUAGGGUUAGAUCCUCAUUCUCCUCGGUGCCGUUGCUAAACCUUUCUCUCUGCCUCCUGGCUAAGCCCAUGAUAUUGAAAGCUACCAGGCGCUGCUUCCAUUCUCGUGACCCUUCUUUGGGACUUUAACUUGUCCCCGUGCUGCAGCCCAGUCAGAAUCUCAGUCGUGUGUAUCCAUGUCCCACCCGUCACGCCGUCUCUCUGCUUGACUCCCUAACGUCGAUGUCCCAUUGGGUCACUAGACUGUUUAGGUCUUCAUCAGACCCUGCCCACUUGUCACCGCACUGCCCUCAGUCCCCGUCACUCUCGGUCACACACCGUCUUCAUUCAUAGCCUCCAACCAAAACGCCAGCUACAAGACCUACAACGCUCCCGCUACUCCGCCCCAGCAUCCUAGAGGCUGGAUGUAGAAGACUCUGCCUGGUUUAUAAUAAAACUCUUGAAAGAAAUUUUUAUAUUUACUACA